UACACUCUAACAUCCACAUUUAUGGUAAGUGUACACAAUUGUACUUUCGGUCAAGGACUGGUUCCACUACUUGCCAAGAUGGACUUAAGGCUUCCAUUACCCUGAAAAGGGUAAAUGCCAAUUUUUUAGUGUUGGGAUUCAAAUUAAUGAAUUUCAUCCUGCAUCCCUGGGUUUGAUUCCCUCAAUCUGCCAUCUGUUAACCUCUCAGGAAAUUUAGGCAAUGCUGCUGCUGUUGGGUUACCCCUGAAGAGGUGAAGCUGGUGCCUUGUUCCCAAACUUUUCUCCAAAAAAGGAGAGGAACUGGUUCUGGGGAAAUGGUAUUGAACUGGACAGAGCAGCCAAAAUGAACAGUUGUGGGGAUGGUGGUUAGCAGUUCUUUCUAGUAGGGAACUGUUUAUAGCACAGGGUUUACAUAACGCAAUGUUUCUAACAGUUUGCUUUGAAGAUGCAUGCUCUCCUGUGUUUACUGGAAAUCAGUGUUAAUUAUAUGCUUCAUUUGAAGUUUAACAAGCUUUUAAUUCACUUUGAUCACUGUGUCCCUUUUGUGGCUUGCCAUUCUGGUGACUGUCUAGUUCUUUGUCUAGCAGUCGUGUAUAUGCACAUAGAAAAUUGGUUAUGUUCUCUACUCUUACAUGCCUGAGAAUCCUAUCUAAUCUUUUUUUAUAUAAAGUGGGCUAAACUUGCCUGUUGUGUUUACUAACUCUUUGUUCUUCCUUUGUAGUCCACUAUCGCAAAUAGGAGUUAUUCAGAAGGCAACUGUGAAGAUGAAGAGCAGGAAGAGGAACAGAAUGUAAAGGAAGAGAAGUCUGAGCCAACUCCAGUAGUACCUGCAGUUCCUACAGUUAUACCCAGCAGAAGAAAUCCCCCUGGUGGCAAAUCCAGUCUAAUACUAGGCUAAACUGUGUCUUUUUUUUUUCUUUCUGUAGUUUUCUGAGCUACCAAACGUGAACAUGUCCUCCCAUUUUUAUGUAUUUUUUUAUAUUAAAAGCACUUUAGGCAUUGCUGUUUUUCUUAACUUAUGUCCUUACUUUUCCACACUCCAUCCAAGCCUUCUGGAAAAAGCACAGAAGCUAUAGUGAAUUGAUGGGAUUUUCUGAAGACUGCUUACAAAUGCUGUGUAUGUAAACUGAAGGAAAUAAAUGUUUUGAAUUUAAA